UACGUAGGGGGCUAGCGUUGUCCGGAUUUAUUGGGCGUAAAGAGCGUGUAGGCGGCCAUGUAGGUCCGGUGUGAAAACUCGAGGCUUAACCUCGAGAUGUCAUCGGAAACCAUUUGGCUAGAGUCCGGAAGAGGAGAGUGGAAUUCCUGGUGUAGCGGUGAAAUGCGCAGAUAUCAGGAAGAACACCAGUGGCGAAGGCGGCUCACUGGACCGGUUCUGACGCUGAGGUGCGAAAGCGUGGGGAGCAAACAGG
rnacentral:rRNA from 1 species